rnacentral:rRNA from 1 species
ACUUAAAUUGAAGAGUUUGAUCAUGGCUCAGAUUGAACGCUGGCGGCAGGCCUAACACAUGCAAGUCGGACGGUAGCACAGAGAGCUUGCUCUUGGGUGACGAGUGGCGGACGGGUGAGUAAUGUCUGGGGAUCUGCCCGAUAGAGGGGGAUAACCACUGGAAACGGUGGCUAAUACCGCAUAACGUCGCAAGACCAAAGAGGGGGA